AUUGCAGAACACAUUGAACAUCGACACCUUGAACGCAAAUGGCGGCCUCGGGUCCGUCCCGAGGCCACGCCCGUCUGAGGGUCGGCU
rnacentral:rRNA from 2 species